UGGGGAAUAUUGCACAAUGGGCGCAAGCCUGAUGCAGCCAUGCCGCGUGUAUGAAGAAGGCCUUCGGGUUGUAAAGUACUUUCAGCGGGGAGGAAGGUGUUGAGGUUAAUAACCUCAGCAAUUGAUGUUACCCGCAGAAGAAGCACCGGCUAACUCCGUGCCAGCAGCCGCGGUAAUACGGAGGGUGCAAGCGUUAAUCGGAAUUACUGGGCGUAAAGCGCACGCAGGCGGUCUGUCAAGUCGGAUGUGAAAUCCCCGGGCUCAACCUGGGAACUGCAUUCGAAACUGGCAGGCUAGAGUCUUGUAGAGGGGGGUAGAAUUCCAGGUGUAGCGGUGAAAUGCGUAGAGAUCUGGAGGAAUACCGGUGGCGAAGGCGGCCCCCUGGACAAAGACUGACGCUCAGGUGCGAAAGCGUGGGGAGCAAACA
rnacentral:rRNA from 1 species